CCUACGGGUGGCAGCAGUGAGGAAUAUUGGUCAAUGGCCGUAAGGCUGAACCAGCCACGUCGCGUGAAGGAAGAAGGACCUAUGGUUUGUAAACUUCUUUUAUAGGGGAAUAAAGGUAUCCACGUGUGGAUCUUUGCAUGUACCCUAUGUAUAAGCAUCGGCUAACUCCGUGCCAGCAGCCGCGGUAAUACGGUGGAUGCGAGCGUUAUCCGGAUUUAUUGGGGUUAAAGGGUGCGUAGGUUGUUUUUUAAGUCAGCGGUGAAAGUUUGUGGCUCAACCAUAAAAUUGCCGUUGAAACUGGAAGACUUGAGUGUGUUUGAGGUAGGCGGAAUGCGUGGUGUAGCGGUGAAAUGCAUAGAUAGCACGCAGAACUCCGAUUGCGAAGGCAGCAUACCGGCGCGCAACUGACGCUCAUGCACGAAAGCGUGGGUAUCGAACAGGAUUAGAUACCCUUGUAGUC
rnacentral:rRNA from 1 species